UACGGAAGGCAGCAGUGGGGAAUCUUGCGCAAUGGGCGAAAGCCUGACGCAGCCAUGCCGCGUGAAUGAUGAAGGUCUUAGGAUUGUAAAAUUCUUUCACCGGGGACGAUAAUGACGGUACCCGGAGAAGAAGCCCCGGCUAACUUCGUGCCAGCAGCCGCGGUAAUACGAAGGGGCUAGCGUUGCUCGGAAUUACUGGGCGUAAAGGGAGCGUAGGCGGACAUUUAAGUCAGGGGUGAAAUCCCGGGGCUCAACCUCGGAAUUGCCUUUGAUACUGGGUGUCUUGAGUAUGAGAGAGGUGUGUGGAACUCCGAGUGUAGAGGUGAAAUUCGUAGAUAUUCGGAAGAACACCAGUGGCGAAGGCGACACACUGGCUCAUUACUGACGCUGAGGCUCGAAAGCGUGGGGAGCAAACAGGGAUUAGAUACC
rnacentral:rRNA from 1 species